GGCUCAAAAGACCCGCCUCGUGAUCUACAGGCAAACCAUGUAAUUAUGUAUUCUUUUAUUUAUAUUUAAUGCUCUAUGUAUGUGCCGUAAGAUUCAAUGUGAUGGGUAAUCUUUAGAAGUUUUUAGAUUUUAGGGUGAACUAAGGUCUUGUUUUGGUGAGAAAAACUUUUGGCUCUAGUUACUUAGCACUUUCGUUUAAAUUUGAUAAUUAUUGUCCAAUUAUGGACUAACUAGGUUCAAAAGAUUCGUCUCCUAAAUUACAGACAAACUGGGUAAUUAUUUUUUUUAUAAAUAUUUAAUACUUUAUGUAUGCGUCUGAAGAUUCGAUAUAACGAGGAAUCUUGAGAAUUUUU
rnacentral:lncRNA from 1 species